rnacentral:rRNA from 1 species
GACGAACGCUGGCGGCGUGCUUAACACAUGCAAGUCGAACGCUGAAGCUCAGCUUGCUGGGUGGAUGAGUGGCGAACGGGUGAGUAACACGUGAGUAACCUGCCCUCUUCUUUGGGAUAACGCCCGGAAACGGGUGCUAAUACUGGAUAUUCACUGAUUCUCGCAUGGGGGUUGGUGGAAAGGUUUUUUCUGGUGGGGGAUGGGCUCGCGGCCUAUCAGCUUGUUGGUGGGGGGAUGGCCUACCAAGGCUUUGACGGGUAGCCGGCCUGAGAGGGUGACCGGGGACAUUGGGACUGAGAUACGGCCCAGACGCGGACGGGAGGCAGCAGUGGGGGAUAUUGCACGAAGGCCGAAAGACUGAUGCAGCGUCGCCGCGUGAGGGAUGGAGGUCUUCGGGUUGUAAUCCUCUUUCGGUAAUGGUCAGGCCGCAGAAUUGGGUUGUGGUGAGGGUAGUGGGUAAAGAAGCGCCGGCUAACUACGUG